rnacentral:rRNA from 1 species
GCCUUGUACACACCGCCCGUCACACCACGAGAGUUUGUAACACCCGAAGUCGGUGAGGUAACCUUUUGGAGCCAGCCGCCUAAGGUGGGAUAGAUGAUUGGGGUGAAGUCGUAACAAGGUAGCCGUAUCGGAAGGUGCGGCUGGAUCACCUCCUUUCUAAGGAA